ACAGCUUCUUUACAACAGGUCAGCCCCUAACCUGUACAGAUGCAUGUGGUUAUUCCUUCCAGGGAGUAGGACUCUUCACUUGCCCUUGUUGAACCUCAUCAGGUUCCUCUCCACUCAACUCUCCAGAUGGUCCAGGUCUCACUGAAUGGUACUACAGCCUCCCAGUGUGUCAGCCACUCCCCCCCAACUUUGUAUCAUCAGCUAACUUACUGAGGGUUAGCUCCAUCCCUUCAUCCAGACUGCUGAUGAAGAUGUUAAACAAAACCAGACCCAGCACAAAUCCCUGGGGGCACCACUAGCUGCAGGCCUCCAACUAAACUCUGCACCACUAAUCACAGUGCUGAGUUCUGGCAGUCAGCCAGUUCUCAGUCCACCUUACUGUCCACUCAUCUAUUACACAUUCCCUAAGCUUCAUUACAAGGAUGUUGUGGGAGACAGUGCCAAAAGCCUUACUCAAGUCAAGGUAAACAACAGCCACUGCUCUCCCCUCAUCUACUCAGACAGUUAUGACAUCACAGAAGGCUACCAGGUUGGUGAAGCAUGACUCCCCCUUAAUGAAUCCAUGUUAACUACUCCUGAUAACCUUCUUUUCUUCCACUUGCUUGGAGACGUCAUCCAGAAUAAGUUGUUCAAUUGGCUUCCUGGGGACAGAGAGCACACAACUCAUUCAGGAGUGGAACCACAUUUUCCUUAGACUUCCUUUUGCUACUGAUGUACUUAAAGAAGCCCUUCUUGUAGUCUUUGAUCUUUCUCUCCAGAUUUAACUGCAGUUUGCAACAAUUUUGCUGGAGUUCAAAUAGGAGGAGACCACUGAAGAAAGAAGGGCCAAGAUGCAAUCACUCAACGUUACUGAAAGUUCCUGGAGAGCUCUGGCAAGCCAUACCGUUAUUGCAAAAUUCAAUUAAAUACUUACGUGCACCAGCACAAA